rnacentral:rRNA from 1 species
UACGUAGGGGGCAAGCGUUGUCCGGAUUUACUGGGCGUAAAGAGCGUGUAGGCGGCCAGACAGGUCCGUUGUGAAAACUCGAGGCUCAACCUCGAGACGCCGAUGGAAACCGUCUGGCUAGAGUCCGGAAGAGGAGAAUGGAAUUCCCGGUGUAGCGGUGAAAUGCGCAGAUAUCGGGAAGAACACCCGUGGCGAAGGCGGUUCUCUGGGACGGUACUGACGCUGAGACGCGAAAGCGUGGGGAGCGAACAGG